rnacentral:rRNA from 1 species
AAGAAUAAGCACCGGCUAACUACGUGCCAGCAGCCGCGGUAAUACGUAGGGUGCGAGCGUUAAUCGGAAUUACUGGGCGUAAAGCGAGCGCAGACGGUUACUUAAGCAGGAUGUGAAAUCCCCGGGCUCAACCUGGGAACUGCGUUCUGAACUGGGUGACUAGAGUGUGUCAGAGGGAGGUAGAAUUCCACGUGUAGCAGUGAAAUGCGUAGAGAUGUGGAGGAAUACCGAUGGCGAAGGCAGCCUCCUGGGAUAACACUGACGUUCAUGCUCGAAAGCGUGGGUAGCAAACAGGAUUAGAUACCCUGGUAGUCCACGCCCUAAACGAUGUCAAUUAGCUGUUGGGCAACUUGAUUGCUUAGUAGCGUAGCUAACGCGUGAAAUUGACCGCCUGGGGAGUACGGUCGCAAGAUUAAAACUCAAAGGAAUUGACGGGGACCCGCACAAGCGGUGGAUGAUGUGGAUUAAUUCGAUGCAACGCGAAGAACCUUACCUGGUCUUGACAUGUACGGAAUCCUCCAGAGACGGAGGAGUGCCUUCGGGAGCCGUAACACAGGUGCUGCAUGGCUGUCGUCAGCUCGUGUCGUGAGAUGUUGGGUUAAGUCCCGCAACGAGCGCAACCCUUGUCAUUAGUUGCCAUCAUUUAGUUGGGCACUCUAAUGAGACUGCCGGUGACAAGCCGGAGGAAGGUGGGGAUGACGUCAAGUCCUCAUGGCCCUUAUGACCAGGGCUUCACACGUCAUACAAUGGUCGGUACAGAGGGUAGCCAAGCCGCGAGGUGGAGCCAAUCUCACAAAACCGAUCGUAGUCCGGAUUGCACUCUGCAACUCGAGUGCAUGAAGUCGGAAUCGCUAGUAAUCGCAGGUCAGCAUACUGCGGUGAAUACGUUCCCGGGUCUUGUACACACCGCCCGUCACACCAUGGGAGUGGGGGAUACCAGAAGUAGGUAGGGUAACCGCAAGGAGCCCGCUUACCACGGUAUGCUUCAUGACUGGGGUGAAGUCGUAACAAGGUAGCCGUAGGGGAACCUGCGGCUG